rnacentral:rRNA from 1 species
GAGGAAUAUUGGUCAAUGGACGCAAGUCUGAACCAGCCACGUCGCGUGAAGGAAGACGGCCCUACGGGUUGUAAACUUCUUUUAUACGGGAAUAAAGUGCCCCACGCGUGGGGUUUUGCAUGUACCGUAUGAAUAAGGAUCGGCUAACUCCGUGCCAGCAGCCGCGGUAAUACGUAGGGCGCGAGCGUUGUCCGGAUUUAUUGGGCGUAAAGAGCUCGUAGGCGGUUUGUUGCGUCUGCUGUGAAAACGCGGGGCUUAACUUCGCGCGUGCAGUGGGUACGGGCAGGCUAGAGUGCGGUAGGGGGGAUUGGAAUUCCUGGUGUAGCGGUGGAAUGCGCAGAUAUCAGGAGGAACACCGAUGGCGAAGGCAGGUCUCUGGGCCGUUACUGACGCUGAGGAGCGAAAGCGUGGGGAGCGAACA